rnacentral:tRNA from 2 species
GCCGGAGUGGCGGAACGGCAGACGCACGGGACUUAAAAUCCUGGGCCCCGGGAGGGGCGUGUGGGUUCAAAUCCCACCUCCGGCACCA